ACUCCUACGGGAGGCAGCAGUAGGGAAUCUUCCACAAUGGGCGCAAGCCUGAUGGAGCAACACCGCGUGAGUGAAGAAGGGUUUCGGCUCGUAAAGCUCUGUUGUUAAAGAAGAACACGUAUGAGAGUAACUGUUCAUACGUUGACGGUAUUUAACCAGAAAGUCACGGCUAACUACGUGCCAGCAGCCGCGGUAAUACGUAGGUGGCAAGCGUUAUCCGGAUUUAUUGGGCGUAAAGAGAGUGCAGGCGGUUUUCUAAGUUCUGAUGUGAAAGCCUUCGGCUUAACCGGAGAAGUGCAUCGGAAACUGGAUAACUUGAGUGCAGAAGAGGGUAGUGGAACUCCAUGUGUAGCGGUGGAAUGCGUAGAUAUAUGGAAGAACACCAGUGGCGAAGGCGGCUACCUGGUCUGCAACUGACGCUGAGACUCGAAAGCAUGGGUAGCGAACAGGAUUAGAUACCCUGGUAGGAUACCC
rnacentral:rRNA from 1 species